GCAUUGACAUCUGAAUUCAAAAGAAGCAUAGAAUGUGACUACUAGUCCACACCAGCAUUUGAAUAUUCACAUGGCCAAUGACAAGAUGCUAAAAUCUUCAGCAAAUUCAAUGUCAACUCAGGGAUUCUGACAUAUACCUAUCACUCAAAAAUCAUCUAUGCUCACUAUAUAUAUUACUCUAUACAGGUUCAAAAGUUUAUGGCUAGAUCCUAUUUCACCUUUUAUGUCCAAUCUUGUAACUGUCAUUUUUUACACAGUUUGCAAUCCUGUUCUAUGUGCGAUGUGGAUGCAUAAGUAUCUGUACAGCUACUGUGCAUACUCAAUAAAUUGCACUUUGGCUGUGCAGGUACUUAACUCCAAAUGUGUCUUUUUUAAUGUUAAAUCCCCAAAUUGUAGUCUAGUAAAACAAGGAGAAGAGACCUCCUCUCUUUUAGCCCCAUAGUCUAGUGAUUAGGACAGUCACUCAUGAAGCAGGACAUUCAUAUUCUAAGACAAUCCUUCAUUUCUUACUUUGAAUCUACAGCUCUUGCUUUGCAGUACAGUACUCUAAUGACCAGGUAAAAGGUUAGGCAUUUAGCAAGUCCAUCUCCAGCCCUUCUUUUGAAGCUGAGCCACUGCUCUUUGCACUUAAUAUUCAUUGGAAAAAAUGGAUGGAGAACAACAUAGUUUCUGCCCUAGUGGGAGCAAGGCUCCAGGCUAGAGCCUAGAAUCCCCACCCUGCUAUUACAGCAUCCAUCUCAUUAAGCCACAUGGCUUGUUUGCUUUUUCCUGUCCCCACAUAUCUUCCUCUUUUGGCUGCCCAGAGGGCCAGCUUCAAGAUGAAUGCUGGUAGUAUGUGGCCUCAUGAUGAUUACCACUGUACUAGAGAGUAAGAGACGCAAGUUUAAACCCCUCUAGUUAAGGCAGACCUAAAACCUGUAUCUCUCACUUCCUGGAUAAACACCCUAACCACUAAGCUAUUGAGCUAAAACAUAGGAGAGUCCUUCUUUCCUACAACCAGCUAGUCAAAGGUUUUUGCUUAGCUACAACUUGUGGACUUAUAUUUAUUUAGGUAUGUGUGUAUGGAGCCACAUACUUGUCUAGUCAGAAUUCUGGCUACUAAGCAUGUUCACCAGCUGGGUGAAUGCUUGCAUAUUGACCGUGCAUGUGGAACAGGAUCACAAACUAUGCAUAAAUGCCAAAAGCAGCAGCUAGUUGGCUGGGUAAGGGUCAUUUAGGCAAGUCAAGUGCCUACAUGACUUGCCCAAGGCUGCAUAGGAAAUCUGCAGCAGAGCAGGGAAUUAUACCCACCUCAUUAGCUCUACCUAGUGGAACAUAUUUCUCUACCAGGGAAUGUAAAGAGGAAAAUGUAAUUACCUGAGUUGGGAUUAACCAAAGUCACCAUGGGACCUCUGUGGAGUAUACUAUCAAGGCUGAGUUUCUGUAAUAAUGGGUCUCAGAGAAAUUUGGUGGAUUAUAUACAGAGCUGGUUCUGUAGGGGUACUAAAGUUGGAUCUGCUCUGUGGGUGGAAGUAUGCAGUCAAGGAAUGGGAAGCUUCUUGGAAGAACUCAGCACAGCAGCAGGUAGUUUUAGUGGAUUAUUUUAGUGCAGAGAAACUUGCUGCAGGUAGCCACAGGUAGAUUGCUGUAUAAUCCAGCAGUCCUUCCUAGUCCAUGGGGCACCCUGCAGUUCACCGUGACCAAGUCUUUCAAAUGAGAUUUAAAACCUUCCUGCUAUUCCUGCCCUACUCCUCUGUCAGUGCUCAGGCAUACACUUGCCAUCUCUAUUGGGUUUUUGAAAACAGCAGAGCUAGGGAAUGGAUUAUAGCCUCUGUACUGUUCAUGGUGUGAGCUAGGUUGAAUUCUGGCAUGCUGGGAUUUCAAGGGUUAAAAAUCUUCUGUAAGUAUUGUGGCUUCUUUCCAAAAGGUUUCAGUUAACACCAAAGGUCUCCUGAUAGCUCACUCUCUUUAAUAGAUUUUUCCCAUUGACUUCUCCCUUUAUUGACUAUCAUUUCCUUUUCUGCAGGGCAGCUAUUUUCUGGGUCACUGAUCCAACCAACUUAAAAGGGAUUUCAUUGAUUGGAUUUUAUUGGUGGUUACUUCAGCCAUGAUGGACAGAGUUGCUAGUACCUGCUAACAGCUCUUCUGUUCCCACAUAGUGACUCCAAGCAACUCAGGGUGCAGCCUCCAAAGAGGAUUAAAAGGCAGCAUGACCGGCACACAGGUGGCUGCAACAAGGGACAGAGAAGAGGACAAAGAAGAGCUGGCAGAGCUGGCCAGUGGGGCAGAGCGGUUGCCCCAGAAGAGCCCAAAGACGACUUGUGGGACGGGGAGUAGCAAGUGGCUGCGUCCCCCAGUCCCGCCACAGGGAGCGUGGCGCUGGUGCACGGCAGGUCCUGGGAGGAGACUGAGACCCCAUAGCUGCACGUGGCAGCUCAGGUUUAAAACCCCAGCACAAGGCUGGACAUGCGGUGAAUAGGGGCCACUGGUGCACAGGAUGGUGCACAGGACCAGGAGGGGGCUGGAGGCUGGGAGAGCCUUGAGCAACUGAGGACCCCCUGCUGAGGGAGGAGAUGCCUCGGCCAGAGAGUGGCCUCGACAGGCCUCAGAGAGUUGUGAGUUGCCUGGGAAGGGGAUUUCCACAGGGGAGGAGGGUCUCCCCCAUCAUUUCUGUGGCUGGCAGCUGGACGGGAAGCCCCCUGAUGGGGGAGGGACCCCAGGUUUGAGGUCAGCCUUUUGGGUGAUUCAAGGAGGGUUACAGGGGCCCCCCCAUAGGGCAUUGGGGUAUCCCUUCACUCUUCUUAUCUUUGGGGCACUGCUAUUGCUCUAGGGCAGUGCAGGUUAUUUUUUGUUUUUUUUCUCUGGGACCUGCACCUUUUCAUUUGUAAACCCUGCAUCUCAGGCUUUGUCAAUCCUGUGCCUCAUAUUUUGUGAACUUACAUUCUUUUAGAGUAUAAGUUUGCAUGACUUAAUGAGACCCUUGCUUAGACCCCUUUGGUUCCUCACCUGUAUAUAGAGUGUCUGCAUAGAUAUAUAAAUAGUCUGCCUAUAGUUCCUGUAACUUAUGUAUAUGUUCAUUAUUAUAACUUUUAUAUUGUAUUAAAUUUGUAUAUAGAUAA